rnacentral:rRNA from 1 species
AUUGAACGCUGGCGGCAGGCCUAACACAUGCAAGUCGAGCGGCAGCGGAAAGUAGCUUGCUACUUUGCCGGCGAGCGGCGGACGGGUGAGUAAUGUCUGGGAAACUGCCUGAUGGAGGGGGAUAACUACUGGAAACGGUAGCUAAUACCGCAUAACGUCGCAAGACCAAAGAGGGGGACCUUCGGGCCUCUUGCCAUCAGAUGUGCCCAGAUGGGAUUAGCUAGUAGGUGGGGUAACGGCUCACCUAGGCGACGAUCCCUAGCUGGUCUGAGAGGAUAACCAGACACACCGAAACUGAGACACGGUCCAGACUCCUACGGGAGGCAGCAGUGGGGAAUAUUGCACAAUGGGCGCAAGCCUGAUGCAGCCAUGCCGCGUGUAUGAAGAAGGCCUUCGGGUUGUAAAGUACUUUCAGCGGGGAGGAAGGUGUUGUGGUUAAUAACCACAGCAAUUGACGUUACCCGCAGAAGAAGCACCGGCUAACUCCGUGCCAGCAGCCGCCGUAA